UAUUUUAAAGAGAGUUUGAUCCUGGCUCAGGACGAACGCUGGCGGCGUGCCUAAUACAUGCAAGUCGAACGAACGGAGGAAGAGCUUGCUCUUCCAAAGUUAGUGGCGGACGGGUGAGGAACACGUGGGCAACCUGCCUGUAAGUUGGGGAUAACUCCGGGAAACCGGGGCUAAUACCGAAUGAUAGAAUGUGGCGCAUGCCACGCGUUUGAAAGAUGGUUUCGGCUAUCGCUUACAGACUGGCGCGCGGUGCAUUAGCUAGUUGGUAGGGUAAUGGCCUACCAAGGCAACGAUGCAUAGCCGACCUGAGAGGGUG
rnacentral:rRNA from 1 species